CUAAAAUCCACAUUCUUUCUGCGGUUUUAAGAAGAAAAAAAAACUGCACCCAGGAUUCUACGUCAUAGUACAACAGCAUCAUCGUUUUGUUUACACAUAAAUUAAAUCAUUACAUGCCUGCAUUUUCAGCUUCCUUUUGUUCACAUUGCUACAGAUCUUCAGAGCAUAAAAUCCCAUGAAGGAAUAACGGACAAAGGGAAGAAGGAUUUUGUGACUUGGGGAUAUUUAAUGUUAAAUGGUUUUCCAAAAGAGCUGAACCAGUUUACACAGCUGCUGAAACAGGUGACAUGAGAGCCUUUGGAAAUGAAGACCCAAAGAAAUGAAGAAAUCUGUAUAUUUGUAAGGUAAAUUUGAUGAAGAAUGGACAGUUAUGUAGAAGUAUGAUUGGUCAAAGGGGGUGUGAUGUGAUGGUAAUAAACUGGGGGGACUUA
rnacentral:lncRNA from 1 species